AACGAACGCUGGCGGCAUGCCUAACACAUGCAAGUCGAACGAGACCUUCGGGUCUAGUGGCGCACGGGUGCGUAACGCGUGGGAACCUGCCCUUAGGUUCGGAAUAACUCCCCGAAAGGGGUGCUAAUACCGGAUAAUGUCUUCGGACCAAAGAUUUAUCGCCUUUGGAUGGGCCCGCGUUGGAUUAGCUAGUUGGUAGGGUAAAAGCCUACCAAGGCGACGAUCCAUAGCUGGUCUGAGAGGAUGAUCAGCCACACUGGGACUGAGACACGGCCCAGACUCCUACGGGAGGCAGCAGUGGGGAAUAUUGGACAAUGGGCGAAAGCAUGAUCCAGCAAUGCCGCGUGAGUGAUGAAGGCCGUAGGGUUGUAAAGCUCUUUUACCCGGGAUGAUAAUGACAGUACCGGGAGAAUAAGCUCCGGCUAACUACGUG
rnacentral:rRNA from 1 species